rnacentral:snRNA from 1 species
AUCCCUUUGCUCCUUGUGCUCAUUGAUGGCUUGCUAACUCGUUCGAUAGGUGUAGUAUCUGUUCUUAUCAGUUUAAUAGCUGUUAGCGCCACACCGUGGUAAACUCUAUUAUUCUUAUUUUUGUCACUUGGUGGCGAUCCUCUGUGCUUGCGCAUGGUCGCUUCCACCGUGUCCCUGAUAUUACACUGUCUUCAGGCGACGCGAAACAAC